UACGGAGGGUGCGAGCGUUGUUCGGAAUCACUGGGCGUAAAGCGCGUGUAGGCGGCCCAUUAAGUCUGAUUUGAAAGCCCGGGGCUCACCCCCGGAAGUGCAUUGGAAACUGAUGGACUCGAGUCCCGGAGAGGAGAGUGGAAUUCCUGGUGUAGCGGUGAAAUGCGUAGAUAUCAGGAGGAACACCGGUGGCGAAGGCGGCUCUCUGGACGGUGACUGACGCUGAGACGCGAAAGCGUGGGGAGCAAACAGG
rnacentral:rRNA from 1 species